rnacentral:rRNA from 1 species
CACCGGCGGCUCGAGUGGUGGCCACUUUUAUUGGGUCUAAAGCGGCCGUAGACGGCUUGGCAAGUCCCCUGGGAAAUCUGGCGGCUUAACCGUCAGGCGUCCAGAGGAUACUGCCAGGCUUGGGACCGGGAGAGGUGAGAGGUACCUCAGGGGUAGGGGUGAAAUCUUGUGAUCCCUGAGGGACCACCAGUGGCGAAGGCGUCUCACUAGAACGGGUCCGACCGUCAGGGACGAAAGCUGGGGGCACGAACCGG